rnacentral:rRNA from 1 species
GUAGAGCGUGAGCAGGAGCGCUUAGAAACCGGAGCAUAAGCGGGCCUGAGUUCGUUGGCCGGGUUUUGGCCAAUGGAUUCAGGGUUGUUAUGUGGAGGUUUCUGCGACUGCGAACGCGUUUCGAUGAAAUACACUGGUUCCCGACAACACAAAAACAACAAUGAUAGCCAGUUUUGAGAGCGCAAAGUUCUCAUAAG